rnacentral:rRNA from 1 species
UACGUAGGGUGCAAGCGUUGUCCGGAAUUAUUGGGCGUAAAGAGCUCGUAGGCGGUUUGUCGCGUCUGCUGUGAAAACUGGGAGGCUCAACCUCCAGCCUGCAGUGGGUACGGGCAGACUAGAGUACUGCAGGGGAGACUGGGAAUUCCUGGUGUAGCGGUGAAAUGCGCAGAUAUCAGGAGGAACACCGGUGGCGAAGGCGGGUCUCUGGGCAGUAACUGACGCUGAGGAGCGAAAGCGUGGGGGAGCGAACAGG